CAGCAGCCGCGGUAAGACAGAGGAUGCAAGCGUUAUCCGGAAUGAUUGGGCGUAAAGCGCGCGUAGGCGGUUUUUUAAGUCUGAUGUGAAAGCCCACGGCUCAACCGUGGAGGGUCAUUGGAAACUGGAAAACUUGAGUGCAGAAGAGGAAAGUGGAAUUCCAUGUGUAGCGGUGAAAUGCGCAGAGAUAUGGAGGAACACCAGUGGCGAAGGCGACUUUCUGGUCUGUAACUGACGCUGAUGUGCGAAAGCGUGGGGAUCAAACAGGAUUAGAUACCCCUGUAGUCCCUGUCUCUUAUAC
rnacentral:rRNA from 1 species